CCGGUGUUUGAAUCACAGAAAAAGGUUGUAACUACUUUUGUAAAACAUAUGAAGAAUGUAUUAAGCCUAAUUAUGGAUUUGUUGAAGAUUGUACCCACUUUAAGUGUUUUUGAUUGGGUUGUAUCUUCACGGUUAUUUAGCUUUUAGAUGGGGUUGCCAUACACUUCCUUUGUUAUAUAAGAAUUAAACUGGGACACAGAGUACCAAGCUGCUUUCGUUUUAUGCCAAUCGAAGCUAUUUCUAUAUGCACAUAUCAUUGUAACACUCCGUGUAAUUGAUGUGAAUGGAAAAUUACAUCAUAUAUAAAAUACUUGUCGUAAUAUCUUCUUAUCAUUCGCACUUUUUGACUCAGUAAUAGAUUUCAUCGCUGCCGUAAUAUGAAUGUCAAUGCCUGUUCAUACCAUUUGUUAGAAAUUUGUUCCUUAAACUUGCAACUAAGUUUCGGAAUUUCUAACAAAAAGGAGAAAACAAUAUAAUAUGCCCAGCACAACAACUACUAACAAGUUGGGCGCUUGUCAUCUGCUAUAGUGCGCACGCAUGUAUAUCCCCUCUACUCCUUAAGAUGACCGCCAUGACAGCAGCGAACAACGGAGAACUCAGUUCCGCAGAGCCACUCGCUCGGUCGCAGUUACGACAGCAUGAGCUGUGCUUGCAUAUAGAACCAUUCUGAUAAUAUAAAACUGGAUGAAAAUCAUUAAACUCGUACUGUCCUGGUCAAACUGGGACGUAUGGUAACUAGUACACCAUUAGGAAGGUCCCAGAAAUCCAGGUGGGACUGAAAUGAAUGGGACACAUCAGAUUCUGGUCUAUGCUGAUUAUGUAAAUAUAUUGGGGAUAACAAAUACCAUAAGGAAAAACAAAGAAGCUGCAACUGACGCUAGUAAGGAGAUUGGUCUGAAAGCAAACACAGAGAAAGCUAAGUAUAUGUUUGUCUCGUCACCAGAAUGCAAGGCAAAAUAGUAACAUAAAGAUAGAUAAUGGAGUCUUUGAAAACGUGGUAAAGUUAAGAUAUUUAGGGACGAGAAUAACGUAUCAAAAUUUCAUUCAUAAGGAAAUUAAGAGCUGAUUAAAUCUGGGUAAUGCUUGCUACCAUUCUUUUCAGAACAUUUUGAAUUUUCUUUUGCUGUCUACAAACGUAAAGAUUAAAAUAUACAAAACUAUUAUUUUGCGUGUAGUUCUGUAUGGGCGUGAAACUUGAGUCUCUGACAAUAAAGGAGAAACGUGGCCCGAGGGUGUUUGAGAAGAGGGUGCUGAGAAGAAUAUUUGGGCCUAGUAUGAGGGAGGAAAUGCUAGGAGGGUGGAGAGAGUUGCAAGAUGAGGAACUUCAUAAGUUGUACUCAUCACCGAAUAUAAUUAAGACAGGAAGACCUAGACACAGGUGGAUCUGAUAGACUCUUAAUAUUGUAGGACUUUUGUCUGUGAAUUUUUAAGCCUUUAAAAUUCUUUAAGUGAUGGAUUAAGUCUAAAAUGAAGAAAAAAAUAAUAUACGAUAUACCAUUUAACGACUUAAAAGGAAAAUUAUUUAUGGCCGAAAUGUGUCUCUAUUGUGUUUUGGUCAGUUUUGCCUCGUAGAGUUUCAAACACCUAGAAAUGCACAGUCGAAUACCACGGGUCUCACAACAGAAUGCGCUCGUGUGUUGUAGUUUUAAAUACUUGGGGCUUCAGAGCAUUAUUUGGACUAAACCUUUUCUUCUGCUAUAGCUGUAUCUGCCUCUAGUCUUUCCAGCACAGUGCUGUGAUAUUGCUACGAUAACUGCUUACAAUGUUUAAUUUAUUUCUUUUCAGGGCCCAAGAGCCAAAAGUUUGAGGCAUUUUUUUCUGUUAUGUCCUUUUGUAGAGGUUAUUGAUGGUAGUUAACCUCGAAAUAUCGCAAAAUUAGGCACAUACGCUUCUCUGCUUCCACAGAUGAUGCUACUUCUGUGUAAGAUUUGAAGUGUACGUGACGAAAUUUCUCUUUUAAUUACUUCAGUUGCAACGAGACAAAAUGUUUCACCGAAACCACGUCAUGAGGGAAAUGUCCAAACAUCGUCUCAAGCAGAAAUUGCUAAAAGGGUUUCAUCUUGGACCCCAGAAGAUAAAAACAAUGCUUGGGAGCUCAGUGGACAGUUUGAGGGAGACAUCAUGCUUUAUGAAAAUACAGCCAUUAAAAAUGCUUUGCAAGAUGAUAACGCACGUUGGACAAAGGCAGUUGUGCCAUACUCUGUUGAUGGAACGGACUUUUGUGAGUAAAAUAACUUCAGUAAGGUAAUAAUUUUCAACUUUAAUGUGGUUGAUCUGGUACAAGGAAUCACUUCUAUGAGUCAUUUUUGUAAACACAACAUGUAGACACUUUUUACAUUUGAAAAAUUGAUAUGCAUUAGUUUCACUUAGCACCAUUUUGAUACCUCUGAGGGAGUAAAACAUUAAAUGUGUCCCUCAUUACCCUGGCAGGAAUGUCCUCAGGUUGUAGGUAGGACACAUUAAAUAAUCCCAUAAUGUGUAUUCUGUACUGGAGGAAGCAAAUUUUCCUCACGUGUUCUUUGCAAUGUGUCUUACCCCACAAAAUUGAUUUGAAGAUGGCUGUCUUUUGGAU